rnacentral:rRNA from 1 species
GAUCCUGGCUCAGAUUGAACGCUGGCGGCAGGCUUAACACAUGCAAGUCGAGCGGGGAAGGUUGCUUCGGUAACUGACCUAGCGGCGGACGGGUGAGUAAUGCUUAGGAAUCUACCUAUUAGUGGGGGACAACGUUCCGAAAGGAAUGCUAAUACCGCAUACGUCCUACGGGAGAAAGCAGGGGAUCUUCGGACCUUGCGCUAAUAGAUGAGCCUAAGUCGGAUUAGCUAGUUGGUGGGGUAAAGGCCUACCAAGGCGACG